AACGAACGCUGGCGGCAGGCUUAACACAUGCAAGUCGAACGCCCCGCAAGGGGAGUGGCAGACGGGUGAGUAACGCGUGGGAACGUACCUUUCGCUUCGGAAUAGUCCCGGGAAACUAGGUUUAAUGCCGGAUACGCCGUAUUGGGAAAGAUUUAUCGGCGAAAGAUCGGCCCGCGUUAGAUUAGCUAGUUGGCGGUGUAAUGGACCACCAAGGCAACGAUCUAUAGCUGGUCUGAGAGGAUGAUCAGCCACACUGGGACUGAGACACGGCCCAGACUCCUACGGGAGGCAGCAGUGGGGAAUCUUGGACAAUGGGCGCAAGCCUGAUCCAGCCAUGCCGCGUGAGUGAAGAAGGCCUUAGGGUUGUAAAACUCUUUCGCCGGAGAAGAUAAUGACGGUAUCCGGAGAAGAAGCCCCGGCUAACUUCGUGCCAGCCGCCGCCGUAA
rnacentral:rRNA from 1 species